CCGAUUCCCCCCUUAAUUAUGCUUAUCGCUUAUGGUCAUUUUAUUUGCUUCCGCGACCAAGGAUGUGUAAUGAUACGCUAUGAGGCUUGUUUGGGGUUCCUUCGGGUUCCCCAUUCGCCGGUCACGUCUAGGCCCUAGGCUUGGGUCGUGACAAUUAUGGUAUUAUUUUAUAGUAGGAAAAAUCAAUGAAAGUGUCUUA
rnacentral:lncRNA from 1 species